AGUGCGUUACAGUGUGUUUGCACUGAGAACAAAGGCUCACUUCAUACAGAGCACAUGUGUUUUCAGCAAGUUGUGUUGAAGUAAAUGCCUUUUUACUUAUGAGUCCGUCUUAUUGGUGCCUGGUGCACUUAGACGUCUGCACUGCUGCUCUGGAGGUGGAGCUGCAGCAAACAGGGUGAACAGGAGCGAUGUUUCCAUCAGCCUCAGGCCUCAGGAGUCACAGGAGCCGUGACACGAGCCGUGCCUCAGGACGCACCACUGCUACGGACUGUUUCACUGUCGCCCUCUGGUGGCAAAACCAAGCACUAACAUUCCACAUGUUAUCGUCAGGAAGGCACUGUAUGCAUGUGAUGCCUCCAAUAUACAGUCAUAUAUAUUGGUGCAGUCUUCCAUGAAGAACCAGGUCCAGCUCCGUGAAGGACUAGCGCCUCCUAGUGGACGUCUGAAGCUCCCACAGUCAGUCCAUCGGUCUGGAACAAGUCCCGUCAGUAACUUAGUAACUGUCAGCUAGUAAUUAAACACCCACUAAUAUUGGAAAGAUUUGAGUUUAGGGAAGAAGACAAAAUGAUGAAAUAAAAAAUAAAGUUGUACUAAACAAAUGUGAGCUCCAGAGAAGUGAUGCUGUUAUGUGUUUAUUCAGCGCAUAAAUCCUGUCAACACUGAAUCCACCCAUCACUGACGGCUCCAUUAGCUCCGUGUCAGGGUGUGUCUUCUCCAUCCUGAAACGUGAGCAGUUCCAGUCACAACCAAACUGGACACUCGUCAAAUAACCGACGGCUACCGGUCCAUAGGAGGAUUCAUAAUUCAUGGUGAUCUCUUCAAUCUGCUUGAGCUCAACCAGGGAGAACGGUGCUUUGGGGGAAGGAUUAAAUAUCAGUCAGGAUUAUCAUCAUCAGCUUGA